GACGAACGCUGGCGGCGUGCUUAACACAUGCAAGUCGAACGGAAAGGCCCUGCUUUUGUGGGGUGCUCGAGUGGCGAACGGGUGAGUAACACGUGAGUAACCUGCCCUUGACUUUGGGAUAACUUCAGGAAACUGGGGCUAAUACCGGAUAGGAGCUCCUGCUGCAUGGUGGGGGUUGGAAAGUUUCGGCGGUUGGGGAUGGACUCGCGGCUUAUCAGCUUGUUGGUGGGGUAGUGGCUUACCAAGGCUUUGACGGGUAGCCGGCCUGAGAGGGUGACCGGCCACAUUGGGACUGAGAGAGGCCCCAGUCUCCUACGGGAGGCAGUGGGGGGAAAUAUGACGCAGGGGGGGGAAGCCUGCGGCGGCGACGCCGGGUGCGGGAUGCCGGCCUACGGGUUGAAAACCACUUUCGCCGGUGAAGAGGGGGGAUUGACGGUAAUGGAUAAGAAAGCACCGGCUAACUACGGG
rnacentral:rRNA from 1 species